GGAAAGGCGCGCGAUACAGGGUGACAGCCCCGUACACAAAAAUGCACAUGCUGUGAGCUCGAUGAGUAGGGCGGGACACGUGGUAUCCUGUCUGAAUAUGGGGGGACCAUCCUCCAAGGCUAAAUACUCCUGACUGACCGAUAGUGAACCAGUACCGUGAGGGAAAGGCGAAAAGAACCCCGGCGAGGGGAGUGAAAAAGAACCUGAAACCGUGUACGUACAAGCAGUGGGAGCACGCUUAGGCGUGUGACUGCGUACCUUUUGUAUAAUGGGUCAGCGACUUAUAUUCUGUAGCAAGGUUAACCGAAUAGGGGAGCCGAAGGGAAACCGAGUCUUAACUGGGCGUUAAGUUGCAGGGUAUAGACCCGAAACCCGGUGAUCUAGCCAUGGGCAGGUUGAAGGUUGGGUAACACUAACUGGAGGACCGAACCGACUAAUGUUGAAAAAUUAGCGGAUGACUUGUGGCUGGGGGUGAAAGGCCAAUCAAACCGGGAGAUAGCUGGUUCUCCCCGAAAGCUAUUUAGGUAGCGCCUCGUGAAUUCAUCUCCGGGGGUAGAGCACUGUUUCGGCAAGGGGGUCAUCCCGACUUACCAACCCGAUGCAAACUGCGAAUACCGGAGAAUGUUAUCACGGGAGACACACGGCGGGUGCUAACGUCCGUCGUGAAGAGGGAAACAACCCAGACCGCCAGCUAAGGUCCCAAAGUCAUGGUUAAGUGGGAAACGAUGUGGGAAGGCCCAGACAGCCAGGAUGUUGGCUUAGAAGCAGCCAUCAUUUAAAGAAAGCGUAAUAGCUCACUGGUCGAGUCGGCCUGCGCGGAAGAUGUAACGGGGCUAAACCAUGCACCGAAGCUGCGGCAGCGACGCUGAUGCGUUGUUGGGUAGGGGAGCGUUCUGUAAGCCUGCGAAGGUGUGCUGUGAGGCAUGCUGGAGGUAUCAGAAGUGCGAAUGCUGACAUAAGUAACGAUAAAGCGGGUGAAAAGCCCGCUCGCCGGAAGACCAAGGGUUCCUGUCCAACGUUAAUCGGGGCAGGGUGAGUCGACCCCUAAGGCGAGGCCGAAAGGCGUAGUCGAUGGGAAACAGGUUAAUAUUCCUGUACUUGGUGUUACUGCGAAGGGGGGACGGAGAAGGCUAUGUUGGCCGG
rnacentral:rRNA from 1 species